CCCUUAGAUGUUCUGGGCCGCACGCGCGCUACACUGAUUCAUGCAACAAGUUUUGUCCUUGGCUGAUAGGCCUGGGUAAUCUUUGAACGUGAAUCGUGAUGGGGAUAGAUGAUUGCGAUUAUUCAUCUUCAACGAGGAAUUCCUAGUAAACGCAAGUCAUCAGCUUGCAUUGAUUACGUCCCUGCCCUUUGUACACACCGCCCGUCGCACCUACCGAUUGAAUGGUCCGGUGAAAUCUUCGGAUCUGAGAGAUGUCUGAUUAAUUUCGGACGCCUUUUGGAAAAGUUGCUUAAACCUUACCAUUUAGAGGAAGGUGAANUCGUAACA
rnacentral:rRNA from 1 species